AAUCAGAACUCACAAGUCCCGAUAGUUCUUAUCAGCCAGGACUUGUGAGUUCUGAUCCA
rnacentral:pre_miRNA from 1 species